GUGAGGAAUUUUCCGCAAUGGGCGAAAGCCUGACGGAGCAAUGCCGCGUGAAGGAUGAAGGCCUAUGGGUUGUAAACUUCUUUUCUCAGAAAAGAAUUAUGACGGUAUCUGAGGAAUAAGCAUCGGCUAACUCUGUGCCAGCAGCCGCGGUAAGACAGAGGAUGCAAGCGUUAUCCGGAAUGAUUGGGCGUAAAGCGUCUGUAGGUUGUUUAAAAAGUAUUCUGUCAAAGAUUAGGGCUUAACCCUAGAUAGGCAGAAUAAACUUUUAAGCUAGAGUUUGGUAGAGGCAGAGGGAAUUCCCGGUGGAGCGGUGAAAUGCGUAGAUAUCGGGAGGAACACCAAAGGCGAAGGCACUCUGCUGGGCCAAUACUAACACUGAGAGACGAAAGCGAGGGGAGCAAAUGGGAUUAGAUACCCGUGUACC
rnacentral:rRNA from 1 species